UUUCCGUAGGUGAACCUGCGGAAGGAUCAUUAUUGAAUAAACCUGAUGUGGUUGCUGCUGGCUCUCUCGGGAGUAUGUGCACGCCCGUCAUCUUUAUAUUUCCACCUGUGCACCUUUUGUAGACCCAGGCGACUUGAGAAAUUGAGUCAAAUGGGCCUACGUUUAUCAUAUACCCCAUAGUAUGUAUCUGAAUGUAUCAAUGGGCUUUGUGCCUAUAAACAUUAUACAACUUUCAGCAACGGAUCUCUUGGCUCUCGCAUCGAUGAAGAACGCAGC
rnacentral:misc_RNA from 1 species